GAGCGUAUAGCUCAGUGGUAGAGUACAUGCUUAAUAUGUACGAGGUCCUGGGUUCAAUCCCCAGUACCACCA
rnacentral:tRNA from 1 species